AGCCCAGAUAGUUGUUCCGCCUGCUUUGCGUAAUGCGCGGGGGCGGAGUUUCGAGGUAACAGCUGCUCCGCACAGUCCCGCCCCGGCUCCCACGAUGGCCCCGCCUCCUGGCGCCCGCGGGAUUACGAUACAUGUUCGCCAGUCUUAGUCACCAAAGUAAUCACUGGCGGCAUUAGAAGAGGGUAGGGGGCAAUCGUUUGUCCUCCUGGAAGAUGGCGAUGGCGACAAGCCGGGUGCGAGAAAAUGGCUGCCGGGAUCACGUGUCUUGUUUGGCUGAGUAUUUUCCACCUGAAUGCAACCCAAUGCCUUUUGCAUGCUAGGCAAGCACUCUGCCAUCUGAACUGCAUCAUCACUUCAAUCAAGUAUCUUGAAUGUCCCUAGGAAGAAUGUGAAAGUACAAAGAAUGUGCAGAGUACAGAUGAAAGCCAAGCCAUUGAAAAUGUAUAGCAAACCCACAUAUUUGCUAUCCAGUUGAGAAGACAAAAUAUAAGAGAAAAAAAUUAAACCUCCUGUGCAUUUCUAGAAAAAACCAACAUCCUGUAUUUGUUCUCUCCUGAUUUUUUAAAACGGUCUCACCAUGUCUUGGUUAGGGCUACUAUUACUGUGAUGAAACACCAUGACUAAAAGCAAGUUAGGGGAGGAAAGGGUUUAUUUGGCU